GGAGAACUUCGUGCCUGGAACAUCACCACAUUGGCCAUUGAAUUUCCUUGGACAAGUCUUUUCAUUUCCAACCAGCUCGGCAGACUAGACGCGUGUGCGUGGAAGCUGUGAAUUUUCACCAAAUUCAGCACUUCCUGCUUGGUUUUUUGAGAAAAUGAGAGCUAAGUGGCGCAAGAAGCGUAUGCGGAGGUUGAAGCGGAAGCGCAGAAAGAUGCGUGCGAGGUCCAAGUAAAUCUACAUGAGACUUUGCUGUUCCAUGUGUUCCGGACAGGAGAUGACGAAUGGUGGAGGGUGACAUCGCCUGAGAUUGUUAAGAAGCUCCAUAUCAGAAAAUAAAUCGAUAUUUCACUGUUGGAACACGAGAAAA